GACGAACGCUGGCGGUGCGCCUUAUGCAUGCAAGUUGAGCGAAGCUUUUCAGUAGUUUACUACAGAAAAUGACUGAGCGGCGAACGGGUGAGUAACGCGUGAGCAAUCUACCUUAGUUACUGGGAUAGCCCGAGGAAACUCGGAUUAAUACCGGAUAUUCUUAUUUUUUCACAUGAAGUUUUAAGGAAAGGUCAGCCGAACUAAGAUGAGCUCGCGUUCUAUCAGCUAGUUGGUGGGGUAAAAGCCUACCAAGGCAACGACGGAUAGCUGGUCUGAGAGGACGAUCAGCCACACUGGGACUGAGACACGGCCCAG
rnacentral:rRNA from 1 species